AGCUACAGGCUUAACACAUGCAAGUCGAGGGGCAGCAUGGUCUUAGCUUGCUAAGGCCGAUGGCGACCGGCGCACGGGUGAGUAACACGUAUCCAACCUGCCGUCUACUCUUGGACAGCCUCUGAAAGGAAGAUUAAUACAAGAUGGCAUCAUGAGUCCACAUGUUCACAUGAUUAAAGGUAUUCCGGUAGACGAUGGGGAUGCGUUCCAUUAGAUAGUAGGCGGGGUAACGGCCCACCUAGUCUUCGAUGGAUAGGGGUUCUGAGAGGAAGGUCCCCCACAUUGGAACUGAGACACGGUCCAAACUCCUACGGGAGGCAGCAGUGAGGAAUAUUGGUCAAUGGGCGAGAGCCUGAACCAGCCAAGUAGCGUGAAGGAUGACUGCCCUAUGGGUUGUAAACUUCUUUUAUAAAGGAAUAAAGUCGGGUAUGGAUACCCGUUUGCAUGUACUUUAUGAAUAAGGAUCGGCUAACUCCGUGCCAGCAGCCGCGGUAAUACGGAGGAUCCGAGCGUUAUCCGGAUUUAUUGGGUUUAAAGGGAGCGUAGAUGGAUGUUUAAGUCAGUUGUGAAAGUUUGCGGCUCAACCGUAAAAUUGCAGUUGAUACUGGAUAUCUUGAGUGCAGUUGAGGCAGGCGGAAUUCGUGGUGUAGCGGUGAAAUGCUUAGAUAUCACGAAGAACUCCGAUUGCGAAGGCAGCCUGCUAAGCUGCAACUGACAUUGAGGCUCGAAAGUGUGGGUAUCAAACAGGAUUAGAUACCCUGGUAGUCCACACGGUAAACGAUGAAUACUCGCUGUUUGCGAUAUACGGCAAGCGGCCAAGCGAAAGCGUUAAGUAUUCCACCUGGGGAGUACGCCGGCAACGGUGAAACUCAAAGGAAUUGACGGGGGCCCGCACAAGCGGAGGAACAUGUGGUUUAAUUCGAUGAUACGCGAGGAACCUUACCCGGGCUUAAAUUGCAGAUGAAUUACGGUGAAAGCCGUAAGCCGCAAGGCAUCUGUGAAGGUGCUGCAUGGUUGUCGUCAGCUCGUGCCGUGAGGUGUCGGCUUAAGUGCCAUAACGAGCGCAACCCUUGUUGUCAGUUACUAACAGGUUCUGCUGAGGACUCUGACAAGACUGCCAUCGUAAGAUGUGAGGAAGGUGGGGAUGACGUCAAAUCAGCACGGCCCUUACGUCCGGGGCUACACACGUGUUACAAUGGGGGGUACAGAGGGCCGCUACCACGCGAGUGGAUGCCAAUCCCAAAAACCUCUCUCAGUUCGGACUGGAGUCUGCAACCCGACUCCACGAAGCUGGAUUCGCUAGUAAUCGCGCAUCAGCCACGGCGCGGUGAAUACGUUCCCGGGCCUUGUACACACCGCCCGUCAAGCCAUGGGAGCCGGGGGUACCUGAAGUGCGUAACCGCGAGGAGCGCCCUAGGGUAAAACUGGUGACUGGGGCUAAGUCAUAACA
rnacentral:rRNA from 1 species